rnacentral:rRNA from 1 species
AUUUUAAAUGACUCUCGGCAACGGAUAUCUCGGCUCUUGCAUCGAUGAAGAACGUAGCGAAAUGCGAUACUUGGUGUGAAUUGCAGAAUCCCGUGAACCAUCGAGUCUUUGAACGCAAGUUGCGCCCGAAGCCAUUAGGCUAAGGGCACGCCUGCCUGGGUGUCACAC